rnacentral:rRNA from 1 species
GACGAACCGUGCGAACGUUGUUCGGAUUCACUGGGCUUAAAGGGCGCGUAGGCGGGCUGGCAAGUCAGGGGUGAAAUCCUCCGGCUCAACCGGAGAACAGCCUUUGAUACUGCCAGUCUCGAGGAAGGUAGGGGCAUGUGGAACUUCCGGUGGAGCGGUGAAAUGCGUAGAUAUCGGAAGGAACGCCGGUGGCGAAAGCGACGUGCUGGACCUUUUCUGACGCUGAGGCGCGAAAGCCAGGGGAGCGAACGGGAUUAGAUACCCGAGUAGU